UACAGAGGUCUCAAGCGUUGUUCGGAUUCAUUGGGCGUAAAGGGUGCGUAGGCGGCGCGGUAAGUCGAACGUGAAAUCCCCGGGCUCAACCCGGGAACUGCGUCCGAUACUGGCAGGCUUGAAUCCGGGAGAGGGAUGCGGAAUUCCAGGUGUAGCGGUGAAAUGCGUAGAUAUCUGGAGGAACACCGGUGGCGAAGGCGGCAUCCUGGACCAAAACUGACGCUGAAUAGCGAAAGCCAGGGGAGCAAACGGG
rnacentral:rRNA from 1 species